UACGUAGGCAGCAAGCGUUGUUCGGAGUUACUGGGCGUAAAGGGUGCGUAGGCGGUUGGUUAAGUUUGGUGUGAAAUCUCCCGGCUCAACCGGGAGGGUGCGCCGAAUACUGAACGGCUAGAGUGCGGGAGAGGAGAGUGGAAUUCCUGGUGUAGCGGUGAAAUGCGUAGAUAUCAGGAGGAACACCGGUGGUGUAGACGGCUCUCUGGACCGUAACUGACGCUGAGGCACGAAAGCGUGGGUAGCAAACAGG
rnacentral:rRNA from 1 species